GUAACACCAUACUUCAUUUAAGUUAUUUUUAUUAAUAUCCUACCAAACGUCAUUAAUUGUUGCACUAUUAAUUAAUUUUUACUCCCUUAACAAUGACUCCUUUAAAAUUUACCGGAGGAAUACUUAACCUUCAAUUUUUUAACUUUCUACCAAACAUCUUCUUAAGGUUAUGCAUUUCUCGGGCGUUAAACUUUGUAUUUUACUUGUGUUGGAAUUGAAAAUCUUACCAUUUACAGCCUGGGACAGUGUAGAUUUGGCAUCAGAUUAAGAACUUAUAGCAUCAUUGAAAAUAUUGAAAUAAAAAGUUGUGGUUAUUGUGAACUUUCUAACUUUCAUGUGUUUAAAUCGGAUAAGAAUUGCAGUUAUGUUAUCAUUCAAAGUCCUUUUGGGUUUUGGCUCCAAAAGUGUUCAUUUGAUUUCCUUUGAUUUCAUGUUCUCACUAAGUUGAUGGAAGAAGACUUAAUUGUGGAAUCACAUUGAAUUAAUCUGAAUUAUGGCAUACCUUUGAAGUGGCUGUUGCAUAUAGAUUGCCUUUUUUUACUCUUUUACAUGGUUUUAAAUAUCAUCCUUGAAUGAGAGCAAGAGAGUUUCACUGCCAAGGAGUUUGGAUGAUUUAUCCAGAUGUCUAGAUACAAAUGCUUGACAAAUACAAAAGUAACAAAACCUUUUGUUAUAAUUUGGUUAUAGGGAAUAUUAGAACUCUUAAGAAUAUUUGUAUGAUAUUCUUACUAGAACUUACUGAGUUUAAUUUGUGUGUUAUCAUCUUGUCUUUGAAGAUGGGCAUUUGAUCUGCAUAAGAUGAAGUUAGCCAAGGGUUAAGCCUGCCCGUGCAGAGCUAAUACUUGGUCUAUGAAUUUCCAAACUGAGUGAGUGGUUGCCUGGUUGGGUCCAUAUACAUAAGGUUGGCCAGGUAGCUGGCUGUACUGGCUUAUAUUUAGGGGUGGCCACUGAGCAGGAACUGAACCGGACACUUUCAGCCUGGUUCAAGAUUGGUUUUGGUCAAUCCAGUUUUGAUUGGUUUUAGUUUCAGAUUGGACCCGUCCAGUUCCAAACUGGAUCAUGGCGCAGUCUACUUAUAUUGGAAAUGAUGUUGUUCCUGGUAACUUCCUUUUUACAGAAGCUAAUAUGAGACUAUUGUAUGUUUCAGGGCGUCAGAGAAUGCAACACCCAA
rnacentral:misc_RNA from 1 species